CACGUAGAUCGUGAAUCAUCGAAUCUUUGAACGCAUAUUGCACUCUCUUCUUCGCGAAAAGAGUUUGCCUCUUUCAGUAUCGGUUUACCCUUUACUUCCUUUUUGGAAGUAAGACCAUGAGAGUUAUCAUUUGAUAUCUCUUUAAGUGUUGGAGAGAAAGUACCUUUGGGAACUGUAUCUCGUGUGAUAGUUCGCUUCGGCGAUUUCUCCGAGAAAAAGACUCGUUGGUUAUGGCCUUUCGCCUCUAGUAGCCACUCCUCGGAUGGAGGAUUUGGUGACCAAACGCAUGUUUGUAUUUAACCAUCUGAUCUGAAAUGAAGCAAGGUUACCCGCUGAACUUAAGCAUAUCAAUAAGCGGAGG
rnacentral:rRNA from 1 species